UACGUAGGUGACAAGCGUUGUCCGGAUUUACUGGGCGUAAAGAGCGCGCAGGCGGUCGUUCAAGUCGAGUGUGAAAGCCCCCGGCUCAACUGGGGAGGGUCACUCGAUACUGAUCGACUGGAAGGCAGGAGAGGGAAGCGGAAUUCCCGGUGUAGUGGUGAAAUGCGUAGAUAUCGGGAGGAACACCAGUGGCGAAGGCGGCUUCCUGGCCUGUUCUUGACGCUGAGGCGCGAAAGCUAGGGGAGCAAACGGG
rnacentral:rRNA from 1 species